rnacentral:rRNA from 1 species
AUGCCAACAGUUAUUUCGGUCAUGCUCGCAAUAGGUUCUCAUCACUUAUCUCAACAGGGUGCCAUCACCAAGAGAAUGAUGGCCAUUGAGGAAAUGGCGGGAAUGGAUGUUCUCUGCUACGACAAAACCAGAACCCUCCCUCGUAACCACCUUACUGUUGAAAAAAACCUAAUCAAGAUCUGUUGGGGGAUCUGGUGCACCCACAACAAAGUUACUUUCGAUAAUCAUAUUGUCCGGUCUCCUCUUGAGGCAGUUUUUACCGCUUGUGCACUGAUGACUUACUAG